CAGCAGCCACGGGAAUACGUAGGUGGCAAGCGUUGUCCGGAAUUAUUGGGCGUAAAGGGCUCGCAGGCGGUUUCUCAAGUCUGAUGUGAAAGCCCCCGGCUCAACCGGGGAGGGUCAUUGGAAACUGGGAAACUUGAGUGCAGAAGAGGAGAGUGGAAUUCCACGUGUAGCGGUGAAAUGCGUAGAGAUGUGGAGGAACACCAGUGGCGAAGGCGACUCUCUGGUCUGUAACUGACGCUGAGGAGCGAAAGCGUGGGGAGCGAACAGGAUUAGAUACCCCGGUAGUCCCUGUCUCUUAUAC
rnacentral:rRNA from 1 species